rnacentral:rRNA from 1 species
AUGGCUUGCGAAGAGUCGGCGGUGCCGCUGAAGACGACGGAGCAGUUCUACUUCUCCGUGAUGACCAGGACGAAGUCGCUAUCUGUGCUUGGCCAUAGCAUGUGUUUAGGCCGGAAUCCACCCCAUGACGGGUCAACGUCAGUCUAUGCUGCACCAGACCAACUUCUAAGGCUAAAUGCACCAAAGCUACUCAGUGAUGCAAACUUCACAUUGGGAAGAUGUGAAAAGAACACGUUCUUUAGGUGUUUGUCACUAUUCCUAUUACAUUACUUGAGAAUUUUUCGUGUGAUUCACGUCAUCGUUGGCCCCAUGUUCGCUGGCAAGACCACCGCGCUUCUCCGCCGGCACCGGCAGGUUGGGAAGCUUAUUUUUUCCAAAGUGAUUGUUUGGGUACUACAAGCUCCCACAGAGUGGAAGCGGUUGUUACAACAGGUUUGA